AACGAACGCUGGCGGCAGGCUUAACACAUGCAAGUCGAACGCAUGCCUUCGGGCAUGAGUGGCAGACGGGUGAGUAACGCGUGGGAACCUACCCCUUGGUACGGGAUAGCUCCGGGAAACUGGAAAUAAUACCGUAUGUGUCCUGAGGGACAAAGAUUCAUCGCCAAGGGAUGGGCCCGCGUCGGAUUAGCUAGUUGGUGGGGUAACGGCCUACCAAGGCGACGAUCCGUAGCUGGUCUAAGAGGAUGAUCAGCCACAUUGGGACUGAGACACGGCCCAAACUCCUACGGGAGGCAGCAGUGGGGAAUAUUGGAAAAUGGGCGCAAGCCUGAUCCAGCCAUGCCGCGUGAGUGAUGAAGGCCCUAGGGUUGUAAAGCUCUUUCACCGGUGACGAUAAUGACGGUAACCGGAGAAGAAGCCCCGGCUAACUUCGUG
rnacentral:rRNA from 1 species